CAGAGCAAAACCCCAUCUCAACAAACAAAAAAACAGACAUCUUAUAAUACAAAUAUACACACCUCUUGUGUAUUUUCAAAAAUACAUUUACGUUUAUUUCAAGGCCUUUGAUAUAUAUUGCUAAAUUGUUUCUCCAAAGGAUUAUAUUAAUUUGUACUCCCACAAGCAAUGAAUGAGAACUCACUUGCUUCAAGCCACCUUCAGCAGCCCCUUCUUCCUUCUAUACAUUUCACCCUCGACAUUCUUUAUAACCUGAGAUCAAUGUUGGUUUAGGAAGAGUGAUGGGACAUACUGAGAUAUGUCAUGUUGAUAACUAUAGAAGGAUUGAAAAGGAAAUCUCUUAAAAAAUCAGCAAAUAUGAGAGCCAAUAACUCAGUAUUUAAGUGUAAGGGCUUAUAUAAUAAUAUAUAAUAAUCUUCAAAAUAAAUAACUCAUGUUAUUUAGAUUACUAUUCCUAUUAUUAUUGUAACUCAUUACAUUACAUGAGUUAUUAUUUUAAAGAUAUUUUGAAGAUUAAGUGAAAUUCAUGUUAAACAUUUAGCAUAAUCCUUGAAUCUCAAUCAUAUAAUAAGCAUUAGCUGACAUUUUUAUAAUCACUAAGAAAAUAAGCAGACUUUCUGUUGAAAUUUUUCCAGGUGAAGUUUGAAUUAGAGUCAAAAUUGUAGAAAGCUUGCUAUGAAGCCCCUUCACUUUAAAUUUAUUUGGCAUUCUAAUAACAACUCCAUUUUAUAAUCAUAGAUUCUAAUACAAUGCCAAUUCUGCUUUUAUUUUUUAUUUUAAAAAUGAGGUAAUACAUGUAUUAUGGGACCAGAAUGAAAAAAAUAUUUUUUUUCUGAGUACCUUUCCACAUGGCCCUUCUGGCUCUGAGAAAUCUAACUUUUUCUCUACUCAAUGAACUUUGAUUUCUUCUUACCUUAAAUAAUGUCUUCUACACUUCAUUCAUUUUACCAAGGCUCAGCAAAUGAUGGACAUGACCUACUGCUUGUCUUUGUAAAUAAAGUUUUAUUGGAACACAGCUGUCUUGCUACCAAACUCACUCUUGAGACUUUCUCUCUUCUUUGCAUUGAAGAAAUAAUACCAUGUUAUAAGAGAGACUGUGGAUAGGGCUACAUGGCAAGAAACUGAGGGUGACCUCUAGGGGCUGAGGGAGAACAACAGCCACCAAGAAAUUGAGGCCCUUAGCCUUAUAACCUCAAGGAAGUAAAUUCUGCAAACAACCUUGAAUUAGCCUGGAAAUAGUUUUUGUUGUUGUUGUUUUGUUUUUGGUUUUUUCCCUGUUAAGCUUCUAGAUGAGAACACAGUCCAACUGACUCUUCUUGCAGCCUUGUGAGAUUCUAAACAAAGGACCCAAAUAAACUAUGCUUGAACUCUGCCCGUGGUAAUUGUGAGAUGAAAACAUUGUUGUUUUAAACCUCUAACUUUGUAGUAAUUUGUUAUGCUGCAAUAGAUAACUGAAACAACAGCCAUGUUCAUUUGUUUACAUGUAGUCUGUAGCUACUUUUGAACAACAACAGAGUUGAGUAGUUACAGCAGAGAUCAUAUGGCCCACAAAGCCUAAAACCUGGCCCUUUAUAGAAAGAAAGGAUGCAGCACACUGCUUUGUACUGUGCUUUCUAAACUGGAGCAUCCCCAGAGGAAUAAAGUAGUUGGUAGGGAACACAAAAAGUCAUAAGAUGGACAUUGUAUAUAUUUCAAUAGCAUCACUUCUACUUUUUGUCAGAGGUAGAAAAAAUUACAUUUUCCAUCCUCUUUUGCAGCUACUGCAGCCAUGGAACUAAGUGUCGCUAAUGAAUUGUGAAUGGAAGUGAUCAUUCAUCUCCAGUUGUCUUCCCCUUUCUGUGACUGAAACCCAAAUUUGGAGCUGAGUCAACUUUGAGCAGACAAGAAUGCUAAUGCUUUAAGAGUGAUAAACGUGCAGAGAGCUAUAGGCAAAAAUAUCAAAGGUAUCAUUCGUACCUUUCAACUCUCAAGUGACCCUCCAGUAAGAGAAGAAGGUUUUGAAAUCAGUGACUUUGACUCCCAAAGAAAACCUGCUUGACACUUCUAACCCUCCAUUCUAAAUGAGCAAAAAUUUCACCUCCCUGAAAGCAGAGGGAAGACAUUGCUGGGUCAGUUUCAAAGGCUCAUUGGCUACCUUCCUGCCACAGUGGACCAUUGAGAGUCUGCUUCCAGUUCCUGGCAUGGUGGAAAUUGACCUUACACUCACUUUCCUCUAUAUGCAUCUGAGUGAGAACUUGAACUUCAACAUCCCCGUCUAGCUCCCUAGGAAAGUGAGGAGGUAUGGAAUAUGCCCUUAGUAGCCUGGCUGGAUUCUGUCUUUUGGCUGUUUGCUGCAUUUGUAGAAGGAAAAGAACAAUACAAAACAUUGCUCCUCUCUUUCCAGACUAAGCAUUUACAGUGCAACAUAGCUAAGUAGGAAACCAAGAAAAAGAGAGGAUGAGAUGUUAACUGAUGGAUCAAGUUACUCUUGUGUGCUCCAGUAACAGAUGUCCAAGCGGCUUCAGGGCUACCUUUGUGCUUCCUUUUUUAAACGUAUUUGAUCAUCUACAAGUUGGAAUGAUUUACAUCAUUUGAAACCCAUGAGAUGUGCUUGAGGCAGGGGAAUGAAUGAAUGAAAGGCUUUUUCCAUGUUAUUUUCACCCUGAAGUAUUUAACCUAUCCCAGUGUGUAUCAAAAACAGAAGAAACUGAUUCUGCAAUGCCAAGUUGUGUCUGCCUUGGACAAUUAACUACUACCAUACCUGAAUCUAUAUGCGUCUUUUUUUUUUUUUCUUCUGAACUUCAUCCACAAAAUGUGUUACAGGCAGUACAAAAAAAUGUAUUUAAAUUAAAUUAGUGAUAUUUAGCUUUAAAGAACAUGCAACAUUUCAGUUCCCUGCAGGGGGGUCUGAAAUGUCCCACGAUAUGUUUCAGAACCAUUCAGCUUGUUUGCCUCUUUCUGCUUCUCCUUCCUGACCACUGUUGUGGGGGCAGAGAGCCAGAUGGCAGGAGGUUCCUUUCCCAAACCAAUUAGCAUGUCCUCAUAUUUUGCCCUCUUCAGUCACAGCUUGUACUCGGCUGUCUCCCUGCAUGAAUCAACAGUGGUCCCAGGACAGGCAGAGACCAUCAGGAACUUACCCUUCACACAGAGAGAGACUCCAGAUCUCAGAGAGCAGUGCCCAAGAUGCCAAGACAGAACCCUGGUAUUUUCUACUAUUCUACAGCUGACAAGGAUAUGGGAACUUGUUCUUGACCAGAAAUGGUGAUUAUGGAGGGGCCAAAAUUGUUGGUCACAUCUGUGGAUCUGUGGCUCUGUGAAUUCUACAUAUUGCAGAAAGAGCAAAUCUCUUCUUCAGCCUCAAGGCUCUCUGGAGCUGGCUGCUCUACAUGGCUGUGCCAGAUUUCCUGCUUCUCUUGAAAGGUCAGCCGACCUGAAGACAUUGCAUGUGCCUCCUCUCAUGAAGUUGCUGUCCAUUUGCUUCAGUCCCCACUUGCCUGCUCCAGUCCCUUCUGAUACCUGCUGGAACUCACAGUGGACUUCAGGGAAGAAAAAAGCGGCCUCCAGGGUGGGAGGUGCCCUCUGCUGCGCGACCCCUAACCCCUUUAGAAACAGAACUGGGAACAGAGCACGCUAUUAAAAAGAGAUCGGGGACUGUUGGGCAGCGUGGUUUUCCACACUCUCCCUUCUCCCUCUGAAGAAGCAGAUGACAGCAGCGAAGAUGCGCUGAGCUGCUAAGGAGAGUGGAUCUGGACACCACAGCGUUUCCUGUUCACGCGAGCUCUGUGAGAACAACGCAGGCCUGAAGCUUUCCUGAAUGGCGGAGCUUGUCCGGGUUUGCUUUCCCAAGUGGAGCAGCAGCACAGCUGGGACGCUGUGGGGUCGGUCCUUAGGCUUUAAUUGGAGCGAGGCAUUCAGGCCUCCAUGCCUCUCCAGUGAGCACUGCCAGCUUUCAAGGACCCCGGGGACACCUAUUCAGGAGGGAGACAGGAGGAGAGGCACUUCUGUUGCCUGAAUCCCCCUGGCUUCUGACAUUGGCCUUUUUUUUUUUUUUUUUUUUUUUUUUUUUGCCCUGGAAAUAUUUUGCGUCUGUACGCAUCCUGUGCUGCUCUCAGCUAGCUCUUUACAAUUCUGUGGCUGUCAUGUCUUUUCUGGCUAGGGUGACUGCGGCUGCUCUGAGGCCUUCUGAUAGUUCUUGUUUACCUCUAGGGGGUAUUCCUUCUUUUAAGACAGGAUUAUGUAGCACACUCAGCUCUAUGCAAGCUGUUACAUUCAUUUCCCGGGGCUAGGCAGCGGCUCCUCCAAUUCCCAGGCCUCAGAAUGCAAAGUUUCCUGAGCCUCCUUCUAGGUUGCACUCUGUCCCCUGAAGGCCCCUACCCCAGGGGGUAACCGAGUAUCUGUUUCUACUCUUUUAGAAGCUGGCUUUAUGAGGAAGAAAGGCCAGGAAGGGUGAGGUGAAGUGUCCUUGCAAGAGUCAGGGAGAAAAUGCUGCCAAUUUCUGAAAAGCUAAACAGCAAUUUGAGAGUCAUGCCAUAGAACCUGCCUGCAGUUAAUGUUCCAGGCAGGCAAAAGCAGCUUAUGGCUGUCUGGGAGCAUAGGGUUCUGCUUCUCAGAAAGGAAGAAUGGAGAAGGUUUAUCUUCCUGGAGCACAAGUUAGUAACUAUUUUUGGAUCAUGAUUCUCUCAAGAUAUAAGAAAGCUAUGGGCCCUGUAAGGUCCCAGUAGAGACCAACAGGGGACUAAUAAGGUUCCCAACAGGGAUUCUCAUUGGUACAUACACAAUACGUGUGAUGCAGACACAUCCCAAAUAAUUUCAGGAAGUUCGUGGACCCAUUCACACCUGAUCGAAGCUCAGCUGGGGGUCCGGAGCCCAGAAAAAAUUUCCAGUUUUCAUUAGUGGGUGGCACAAAGCCCCAAAGGGCAACUCUUCCCUCAUCAAGCCAAGCAGAGGAGGCCAUUUUCUGGAUAAUUUAGGUAGAACCUCCUCUCCCUCCCCACAGUAUUUCUUUACACUUGGAAUUCAAACCAAAAGUGUGUUGCUUGCCAGGUAAGUGGCACCUUCUCUGCUGGCCCUAGACUCCUGGGAACCACGGCCGUAGCUUCAUGCACAGCUCCUGCUGGAGAGGGCUCUACAAUGCUGUGAGGACAUGCUCUAAUCAACUGAGAUUUAUGAGCUAGAAAAUAAAUCCUGCAGCACUGGCUCUGUGUUUGACCUAUGAUAAUAAGAGUCCCUUAUGGCCUUGAAGCUGGUGUCUUUGUACUGAUUUAUCAUGUAGACUGUGGGGAGCCAUAGGCCCCCUCUGCUGAAUACAUUUCUCUCCCAGUGGCAGGACAAGCUUCAUGGACCCAGACCAAAUCCCUUGGCAGUGUUGCUGGUGGUGACCUUGGCUUCAGGCUGUCUAUCAGCUCCAGCACCUGGCCAGAGGCCUGGGGCCAGGCCAGCGAUGGGAGGACACUGGGUGGGCAACAUGAGGUGGUUCUGCAGGCUUCACUGUACCUGGCGAGUUAUGGCCCAAAGCCUCAGGGCCAACCAGAAGUCGGAAAGGGGGUUCCCGUUUCAGUAAGUUGGGACCCAGAUUUGGCCAUAGGCAAAGCUGCAGAGCCUGAGUUAGUUUGUUCUUAACUCUUCCGGCUUCUUUCUCAGCCGCCUCUGUGACCACCUGCUUAAAUGUGUAUUCCUCCCGAGGACGGCCUAGCUGCUUUUUGGAAGAGCCCCCACUUUGCCCAGCUCCGGCAGCACCCCAUACCUCCCUCAAAACAUACACGUUUAUUAAUAAAGUUCCUGCUUCAGAAUUGAAAGGUUCUUCCACAUUUGAGCUUCAAAAUAGACCUGUGAAGUAGACAGACUUAGUCCCUGCCUACCUUUUUCCCCCAAUUCACCCCUGAUUUUACAGAUAAGGGAUUCAAAAUGGUGAGAAGGCAGGGAGUUAGUGUUCAUUAGGCGAAGGUGUGGCUUCUGCACAGCCUUUCUUUUCAGGUGAAAAGGGCCUGGAUUCAAAUUGAGGCCUUGCCCCUGGCUUGCAAGGUUGCUUCUUUAAAGUUUGUUGGACUAUUCUGAGCCUAAAUGUUUUCUUUUUUAAUCUAUAAAAUAGAGAUAAUAUAAUACAUUGGGACUGAUAUGAAGAUUAAAUUUAAAAAAAAAACAUGGCAGGUGUUCAAUCAUAGGGGUCAUACUGGUUGUAUCUUCCACAGCCCACGCACCAUGUUGUUUUAUUUUUUGUUGCUCAUGUGCCAUAUCUUUACAGGGCCAUUUACCAUUAAUGAUAACCCAAGGUGAGCAUCUCCCAGGGUCCACACUGAAAGGCCCCAGAGUCAUUUAUUUUGUUUCUAUGCUACUUUAAGUAGCAUGAACACAAAGGCACUUUCCAUUCUCAUGUAUUUGGCAAAUCACUUUGUGCAUAUUGCCAGAAUCUCCUUGAUGACUCUCAGGUAUGGGUUGUGAAAUAUGUUAAUAUCAAGGCAGACAGAGCUGAGCUAAAGAUUUCAUAUUUUCACAGUAUACAUUUUUUUUGUUUUAACUCAGAACUCUCUAUUAAAGCCUCUUAUGAUCUCCUGUCCUUUGCGUUUGCAGUUGUCAGUUCUACCUCCCACACUCCCACUGUCACAGGUUGGUCAGUCCUCUGAUCGCACACUUGGCACUCCGUAUCGCCUACAGAAUCAAGUCUCAAUCCUUAGUUUGUCUUCUCGACUGUACAAACAUUGUGCUUAAGUGGCCAAACACAAUCUAUGAUGCCCACUAAAGGAUGCUCUUUCUGCCCACUAUUCACUCCAUCUGCAAUGCCUUCUUCACCAGCAACUCCACUGCCCUGCCUUCACAGAUAGAAUUUCCUUUCCAAAGUCCUCUCUCAUCUACAGCUGGAAGCAACCUCCCUCCCUCAGAAGCCCCUAGCACUUAAUUGUGUCUUUCCUAUACUAUUUAAUCACUUUCUACCUUGGAGAAUAUUCAUUCUAAUCUACCUGGUUUAGCACCUCUCUCACAGAAAUCUCCUUGAAGGCAAAUUCCCUGCCUCUUUCAUCUUGGUAGCCUCAUGAUACCAAGCACAGUACCCUUCACAUGUUUUCAAAUGAAUUAGUGAAUUACAUAGAUAGAUUAAAAAGGUUUAAGUACAGAAUAAAAUGGUGGAACUAGUUUGGAUGAUUGAAACGUGUGAAUAUAUUUGAAGCAAUGUAGUCAUAUUACUUUUAAGUAUAUGUCUUCAACUAGGCUGACCUAGUCUUGCUUCAGCCAUAUCUUUAGGGAACAUGUUUUAAUGAAUAAUUUAUUUGUUAUUAAUAAUAUAUACAUAAUUUAUGUGUACUUUGUGCUUCUAAAAUACUUCUCAGCUCUUUGGAAAGUCUUUUCCCCCUAAGUAUUUUCGUAUUUCUAUUGAAAAUAGAAAUCUGGUUUACACUAUUAAUUUUUUGUUCCAUAGAUUGUGCGUAGGUAUUUCAGCCCAACUCCUGUCUGAAUGACCAAAAUACAUUUGGCAAAGCACCAGUCCUGAGAGAAGCUCCAUGAAAACAAUGUAUUUUGUGAUCAAAUACUUUUAGGAAAUAGUGUAUCCUAUUCCUUCCUCUUGGAGAUUGCCAUGUACUAGUUUUCUAUAGAAAUGCUGCAUUAUUGGGUUCCACAGUAGGGAGGUUUUUGUUUUUACUGACCUCUUAUCAAUAUGAGUAGGCUUCCUCUUCAACGCAGUCACCAUUUGUUGGACUAGAGGGUGUGUAUUCAUUUCUGAACCCCCUUCCUGCUCACACAGCACCCCCCAUAGAGGGGACAGACAGAGCUCUCCCUAUUCCACUCAGCUCCACUCACUACCACCCUUGCCAUGCCCACCUCCCACCGUAGGCAAAUUGCAGAGACUCCCAUCUUCCAAGCCUUCCUAGUAGGUAAUUUUAGACUAAACCAUAUGAAAUUGCCAGUAGUCGAUCGACUUCAUCUUGUUAACCUAAAAAUGGCAAUUUCAUAUCGUUCAACUCAAUUCUUCUUCUCUGACUUCAGUGACACUCCACUCAGGGUAAUGGAAAAGAUAGAGUUUGCAGAGGCGAGGAAAACACGUGUCCUCUAUGGGCGCCUCUCACACCACCUCUCUGAUCAUCUUCUUCAGCCCUUUUUUUGGAAGCUCCUCCUCUUCUCAUUCCUCAGGUAGGAAUGUUUUCCACAACUCCACUUCAUUUGGUCCUUACCUUUUAAUACUCAGAGCUCAUUCCCUCACAGUUUUGACUGGCCACUUUACGGAGACCCCACAGCUAAUCUCACUCUCUCCUGAGAUGCAGCCCUACAUUUUACACUGCCAAGGAGGCACUACCAUAGUCUUGCAGAGAGGAAAAGAAUGCGAUGCUUGUGUCCCACCCUGUGAUGGCCCUCACCCACCAAGGCCAGAGUGUGGAUGGACCAGCACACCAUUCCCCCUCUGGAGACACGGCUGAGGCCCCUGCCCCCCUACUCCCGAAAGGUGCCAUGGUUCAAUGGCUCUUUGUCCUUCGUACAACUCCCUUUAGGCAGUGACUGUCAGGCAGAGGGUAAAUCUCUUUCUACAGACAGGAAACUGAGGCACUGAGGAGUAAAACACCUAUUGAGCAUAGCAGACAAGGCAAGAGCCUUACUCAAGCCUAGAACUCAAGCAGUAUUAUCAGCUUGGAUCAAAAAAAAAAAAAACCAGAAUGAAUUAAAAACCAGCUCUCUUGUUGGUAAUGGCAUAAUUAUCAUGUGAUCAUGUGAUCACUACCUGCAAUAUGAUAUGAGGGGCCCCAGGAGACCGCGAGGCCUUGCCCAGUGGGGAAUGGGUUCCAUAAGUAAGUGGAGAAAUCAUGCUGGACACGUCAGAACACAUUUCUGGCUUCAGCUACCUGAGGAAUGAAAUAUUCUCAUAUAUGUAGUGGUCAUAUUUUAUGCAACGGAUGCUGUUUUGAGGGCCUUGCAUAACUCAAGACAAAUUUUCCCAUAGCAAUAAAUGUAAAGUUGGAUGUGUUCCAGAAGAACAUAAAUCUCUAAUUAUUGUGUUGCCUUUUUGCUUUAAAGCUGCUUUUUAUUUUCUUAGCAUUAUUUUUAAUAAUUUGCAGAGCCUUUUCCCACAUUAACAGCACAUCAGAGAGUGAGGAUGGGCUUCAUUAUGGUGUUUUACCACAUGUAACUUCCUUCGCAAAGAUUUUGAUUUGGGAGAGAUUUUUACCAGCUUUAGCAUGAACAUCCGCAUUCAGGAGUCUUUUAGAUGAUACCACUCUAAUAGAUUUUUAAAAGAUAAUAAAUUAUAUCAGUAAAGAUUGUAAUAUUAGCAAAAUUAUCACACAGAUACUAAUGAAUUCUUUGGUAUAUGUAAACAGUAACAAGAUUCACAGAUGACAGAGCCUGGAAAAGGAUGGCUGGCAUUUCUGUGGCCUAACACAUGGGAAAAGUAUAUACUGUUUCCAAGACCUUUUCCAGUCUUGGAAUUCUGCAAUUCUUGAUGGAUUUUUUUUUUUAAAUUUUGGAGGAUUGUCAUUGAUUCCAAUUCUGUGUAUAAUAUGAGACUUUACCAAUACUAUUCUCUAUGGCAUGGCUUCAGAACUGCACAAUUAACAUUUUUAUUCAGUGUGACCAUGCUGUGCUAAGAGGGUCCCAUGUGCCCUACCAGUUGGUCUCCACUGACAACAAGGCAAUGAAAACCAAUAAACUGCCUCUAUUCUGCCCCCACUGCAAAACACCUCGGCGGGAUAUUUUAAGUGUGUGGAUUCCCUGAAUAGCUCUAGGGCAGGGGCUCUCAAAAUGUGGUCCCUGAUCAGCAACAUUAGCGCCCACUGCAGGUCUGGUUGCAGUGGAGAUUCUGAUUUAGUACUGCCGAGGUGGAGCCUGAGAGAUUCUGCCUUCCUCAUAAGCCCUCAGGGGAUGCAGAUGCUGCUGGUUCACGGACCGCACUUUGAGUAGCAAGGCUGUGGAGUGCUUUGGGGGCCCUUCCCUGCCUCCCAUAGCUCUUCACUUACUUGCAAGUUCCUAAAUCUACCUUUACUGUACAAUUAAAAAAACAGUUUAAUGCAGCUGAAGUAACAGUAUCAGUGAUGAAUCCUUCCUCAGGACAAAAUAACCAUGACUUGCAAAGCACACUCUCUUUUCGAUGGUGGAGGGAGGAUGAGGGCCCUGACUUCUGCCUGGGCGAGAAGCUAGAUAAAGGAGUCUAGGUAAGCUGGAAUCGCUUUUGAAGACUUGACUGAUCAUUCUGUGCAGGGCUGGCCGAACACAUACUAGGGACCACUGCAGCUUAGAAUGUCUCAAGUUUCAUGCUGCUUUUGUUAUUUAAUAUGUCUGACUUCAUAUAAAGGAGCUUUGUUUAGGGGUGUGAGCUAAUUGAGCAUCAAGGUAUAUGAUAUAGACAUUGCCCUCAAGGAAUGUAAUGAAAUUUUUAACUGUUUCCAGAACAAGACUGAAGUAAACGAACUCUGUUCAGAAA